GUGGGGUGUCAGUAUGCUUUGCUCCCCCUCUACUGCUGUCCACACCAGAACAGCUUCACCCCAGGCAGCUGCAGGGUGCUUGAGAACCCCCAGCCCCCACUGACCCAUUGCUACAUUCUUGCCACUGCCUCCCAGAAAUGGCCGCAGGCCCCAACUGCCAGCCGCCAUGUUUGCGCUAGCAUGUGGCACUCAGAAUCCUGUCACCAUGGCCGCCCAACUGCCCUCAACCGCAGUCCCACAGCUGACACAGCCAGAGAAAGCUGCCCUCCAGAGUCUCUCCGCGAGAGAUACAUUUUAUUUCUUGCUAUUUCUGAGGACGGGAUGGAGCAGCCACCUUUAAAGAAGAGGUGGCUGCUGGAAGAGGCUCAUGACAUCGAGCCCAUGGAGGUGGACCCGCCUGGCAGCAAAGAAGAGCCCAUGGAGGUGGAUCCACCUGUAGAAGAUGACCUGAUGGAAGUGGAUCCACCUCCAUCGGGGCACACUGCCCAUCUCUCUACUGCUGCCAGGCCAGUGAGGAAGAGGAUGUGCCCCAGAUGUCACCGCAGGGGCGCCAGGAUCCGUCCACCUCCCGCGAAAUGGCCGCCUCGACGCCGGUGCUGAUCCUCCCGUCCUGUAAGUUUAUCCUUACCCAGGAGAGCCCCAGCUCACGGCCAUCCUGUGGGCUCAUGUGGAGCCUCCAUUUCCUGAGUGUUCUUCUUUUCACAGCCAAGGCUCCUACGAGCCCUCCCUUCCCUUUCCCCUCCCUUGUCCUUUCCCAAGUCCUCUCAUGUCUUCUGCACCAAGUCCUGACGAAGAGGGCAGGACAGGGACUGCCAUCCUCUGAGCUGCUGUGCCGGGGCAGCGGGACGAGUCCGGUGGAGGGACCUCAACUGCCGGGGGCCUCAAACAUCGCACGGGCGUGAGGAUCCCGUAAGUUUAUCCUUAGCCGGGAGGGGGAGCCCCAACUCAGAGCCAUCCUGCAGGCUCACAUGGAGCCUCCAUUUCCUGGUAAUCCUUCUCUUGGCAGGCAAGGCUCCCAUGUGAACCCAUCCUUUCUGUUUCCAUCCACAGUCACUCUCCAGGGGGACAGGAGGAAUAAAAAGAUGGAGAACCAGGCUUUGAUUCGGACAGGAAGAAGUGCUGAACUGCAGCAGGAAGAUCUAGUCCAGAUGCUUUGUUUAGACUGUUCUUUUAAGACUGGACUAUCAACAACUUAAAAUAACCAAACAAAAUAAGAAAGAAUUAAAAACCACAAAACAAAAUAAGCACAUUUUCAUUUUUAAAAAAGGAAAGCAGUAAUUGUCUCUCUGUUUUACGAACCUCAGAGUUUUGACCAGAUGGGUCAGCUCUCCCACCAUGUCUUUGCUGCUCCCUUGUAUAUUGUAAUUAAAAAUAAAUAAGUUUUGUUGCUUAUACACACUAACUAUACUACAUACAGAGGCUGCUCUGAAAGUAAUGCUUCCUAUUUUAUUAUGUCAGCUUACAACAUCGAAGGUGGAUGUUGGUAUGGCAGAAGAGGCUGACCCUUCCUGCCAAUAUUCCAUUAUAUUUUGUUGUCAUGUCACAGAUGGCAGCAGAGGGGCAGUCUGAGUACAUGAUUUUUCCAGACGUUAGCAGCUCUAUGAUGAACCUCAUGUGAGAAAUAUCAAAAUAGAGAAAGAACAAGGGAGAAAAAGAGAGAGAGAAAAAAAAAAGAGAGAGAGAGAAAGAAAGCAAGAGAGAGGAGAGAGAGAGAAGGAGGGAACAUCAAGUUACCUAUUUCAUUCUUUAAGUUAUGUGCAAAUCUAUUCAGGUAUUUUUUUUUUGUCCUACACCAUUAAUUUGAAGGUAAGAGAUGAGUUAACGCUAAAGCAUCAUUUGCUUUUAAAACACAGUAGCAUUACUGUAUUCUACUUUGAUAUCUGUUGUGAUUUCAAGAAUAUUUAUAGUGCAACAUUUUUCAAC
ensembl:lncRNA